GCGAACAGAGGAACACGCACGAGGCCAAAGAAGCGAGAUAUGGGAUACCCAUAGGCUGAGGGAAGGGCGACUAGCGCGCGGCGCCCGCAGGCGCAUGCGCUGUCGGGCAGCUGUCCCCCUCUCGCCCUUCGCUGGUCACCUUAGGCUGAGGGGCCGGAGGGGAGUAUGGAGCGCAGGGCCCAAGCCUGAUGUACGAGGGAGACGUGACAAGAAGUAAAGAAAUGAUUUUUGCUGGUAGAGAUCCCUGUCAGUGGUCAGUGUGAGGCCACAAAGAUGAACUCGGAAGAAUACAGUAGCAGAGCUAACACCCACCAGCAUCUCCUUGAGCCCAAGUUUAGACCUUUGGAGCAGCAGAUUACAGGUGGAGUUGACAUCAGUGAACACCUGAGAAGCAGAACUGCAGACUGAGGGUACCCACAUGGAUACCAGUAGCUUUAUCUCUGGACACACUCAACCCUCCCUGACAAGUAUUUCAGUGGAGCAGUGCAGGCACCUGGGUGCUGAGGAGCAGCUCUUCAGGAACCUAGCAUAGCCAGCUGGUUUCAGCAUGGGUUUACAGGCUUGGUGCAUUGAGGGCUUGAACUCAGCCUGGGCAGGGCAGCAGUAACAUCCUUGUAUAGUACAGAAAAGCUUGGGAGAUCCAUGUGUGGGUUAGUAGCUUGCUUUGGGGUGCUGGAGGCAAGGUGGUGAUGUGACUGUAUUAUCAGAGUCAUUAGCCCCUGCAUAAAAAUAAUGUCUCAAAAAAUAAUAA